ACACGGAGCUUAUAAUGAGAAUCGCCUUC
rnacentral:sRNA from 1 species